AGUGGAAGCGUCUGGAAAGGCGCGCGAUACAGGGUGACAGCCCCGUACACAAAAGCGCAUGUGCUGUGAGCUCGAUGAGUAGGGCGGGACACGUGGUAUCCUGUCUGAAUAUGGGGGGACCAUCCUCCAAGGCUAAAUACUCCUGACUGACCGAUAGUGAACCAGUACCGUGAGGGAAAGGCGAAAAGAACCCCGGCGAGGGGAGUGAAAAAGAACCUGAAACCGUGUACGUACAAGCAGUGGGAGCACCCUUUGGGGUGUGACUGCGUACCUUUUGUAUAAUGGGUCAGCGACUUAUAUUCUGUAGCAAGGUUAACCGUAUAGGGGAGCCGYAGGGAAACCGAGUCUUAACCGGGCGUUAAGUUGCAGGGUAUAGACCCGAAACCCGGUGAUCUAGCCAUGGGCAGGUUGAAGGUUGGGUAACACUAACUGGAGGACCGAACCGACUAAUGUUGAAAAAUUAGCGGAUGACCUGUGGCUGGGGGUGAAAGGCCAAUCAAACCGGGAGAUAGCUGGUUCUCCCCGAAAGCUAUUUAGGUAGCGCCUCGUGAAUUCAUCUCCGGGGGUAGAGCACUGUUUCGGCUAGGGGGCCAUCCCGGCUU
rnacentral:rRNA from 1 species